UCCGUAGCUGGACCCCUAAGUCUCUUGGGAAAUCCGCCGGCUUAACCGGCGGGCGUCUAGGAGAUACUGGGGGUCUAGGGACCGGGAGAGGUGAGAGGUACUCCGGGGGUAGGAGUGAAAUCCUGUAAUCCCCGGGGGACCACCGAUGGCGAAGGCAUCUCACCAGAACGGCUCCGACAGUGGGGGACGAAAGCUGGGGGAGCGAACAGGAUUAGAUACCCUGGUAGUCC
rnacentral:rRNA from 1 species